rnacentral:tRNA from 1 species
AUUUAAGUAGCUUAUACUAGAGUAUGAUAUUGAAGAUAUCAUGGAAAUGUUUUAUUCUUAAAUA